CCUGGUUCCAAGCCAAGGCCUAGAUCCUCUGAGUUCAGAAGACCUGGUGCAGGUCCCCAUUUGCCUUUUGGCCCAGCUCUGGAUUAAAACGUCCUUUCUGACAUGCCUAGUGCUUUGUGCUCCUCAGCCUCAGGAGUACAACGAAACUGCUCAACUGGAAUCUAUAGAAGAUGGACAAUCAGGUUUUUCCGGGUUUGGGAAAUGUGCUUCCAAUUCACUCCUGUGGCGCUGUCAUGAAGUUUUGUUUCCCACUGUGGACUGCUCCAGAGAGCUGCUCGCAACUGGGCAGCUGGCUUCCCCAAGCGUGAGUAAUCCAAGAGAAAGAGAGAGCGAUCAAGAUGGAAGCCACGGUAUCCUUUUUCACCUAAUCUUGGAAGUGACAUACCAUUGCUUCUGUUGUAUUUUAUCAGUCAUGACCCUGAUAAAAUGCGGGAGGGGACUAUGUGAGGGUGUGAAUCCCAGGAUGCAGGGAUCUUUGGGGCUACCCUGGAGGCUGGCUACCGUGGAUGGUAAUAGUGCCACGGAGGAAACAAAGCAGGGUAAAGGAUAGGGAGAACAGGGAUUUGGGCUGACCCUUGUUCUUAAUGCACGUGGUCAGAGAGGACUUCACUGAUACGGAGCAGAGACCUGAAGGAAGUGAGGGAGUAGCUUUGUGGCUUGCUUUUUAAAAGAUUCUACUUAGGGGUCACCUUUUCCAGAAAGACUUCCCUCAGCUCCUGUCCCACCCAUCAGGUUCACUAAGAAUACCUACUGUGUGC
rnacentral:lncRNA from 1 species